AACGCUGGCGGCGUGCCUAAUACAUGCAAGUCGAACGAACUUCCGUUAAUUGAUUAUGACGUGCUUGCACUGAAUGAGAUUUUAACACGAAGUGAGUGGCGGACGGGUGAGUAACACGUGGGUAACCUGCCCAGAAGCAGGGGAUAACACCUGGAAACAGAUGCUAAUACCGUAUAACAGAGAAAACCGCCUGGUUUUCUUUUAAAAGAUGGCUCUGCUAUCACUUCUGGAUGGACCCGCGGCGCAUUAGCUAGUUGGUGAGGUAACGGCUCACCAAGGCGAUGAUGCGUAGCCGACCUGAGAGGGUAAUCGGCCACAUUGGGACUGAGACACGGCCCAGACUCCUACGGGAGGCAGCAGUAGGGAAUCUUCCACAAUGGACGCAAGUCUGAUGGAGCAACGCCGCGUGAGUGAAGAAGGGUUUCGGCUCGUAAAGCUCUGUUGUUAAAGAAGAACGUGGGUGAGAGUAACUGUUCACCCAGUGACGGUAUUUAACCAGAAAGGCACGGCUAACUA
rnacentral:rRNA from 1 species